rnacentral:tRNA from 1 species
ACCUGGGUGGCUCAGUCGGUUGAGCGUCCGACUUCGGCUCAGGUCAUGAUCUCACGGUUUGUGGGUUCGAGCCCCACAUCGGGCU